UAGGGAAUCUUCGGCAAUGGACGAAAGUCUGACCGAGCAACGCCGCGUGCGUGAAGAAGGUUUUCGGAUCGUAAAACUCUGUUGUUAGAGAAGAACAAGGACGUUAGUAACUGAACGUCCCCUGACGGUAUCUAACCAGAAAGCCACGGCUAACUACGUGCCAGCAGCCGCGGUAAUACGUAGGUGGCAAGCGUUGUCCGGAUUUAUUGGGCGUAAAGCGAGCGCAGGCGUUUUCUUAAGUCUGAUGUGAAAGCCCCCGGCUCAACCGGGGAGGGUCAUUGGAAACUGGGAGACUUGAGUGCAGAAGAGGAGAGUGGAAUUCCAUGUGUAGCGGUGAAAUGCGUAGAUAUAUGGAGGACCACCAGUGGCGAAGGCGGCUCUCUGGUCUGUAACUGACGCUGAGGCUCGAAAGCGUGGGGAGCAAACAGG
rnacentral:rRNA from 1 species